GUGCUCACUUCAACAGCAUAUAUGCUGAAAUGGGAAUGGUGCAGAGAUUAGCAUGGCCCUGUGCAAGGAUGGCACUCACAUUCAUGAAGCACUCCAUAUUUUU
ensembl:snRNA U6 U6 spliceosomal RNA